UAAAGCGUUCGUAGCCGGUUUGAUAAGUUUUUGGUGAAAUCCACAUCUUAACUGUGGGAAUUGCCGGGGGAUACUUCUCGACUUGGGGCCGGGAGAGGUGGGAGGUACUCCCGGGGUAGGGGUGAAAUCCUGUAAUCCUGGGAGGACCACCUGUGGCGAAGGCGUCUCACCGGAACGAACCUGACGGUGAGGGACGAAAGCCAGGGGCGCGAACCGGAUUAGAUACCCGGGUAGUCCUGGCCGUAAACGAUGCGGACUAGGUGUUGGGCAGGCUUCGAGCUGCCCCAGUGCCGAAGGGAAGCCGUUAAUUCCGCCGCCAGGGAAGUACGGCCGCAAG
rnacentral:rRNA from 1 species